rnacentral:rRNA from 1 species
CGACCCUCCCGGCCUCCCGCCUCCGGGCGGGUCGGCGCCCGCCGGAGGAUAACCAAACUCUGAUUUAACGACGUUUCUUCUGAGUGGUACAAGCAAAUAAUCAAAACUUUUAACAACGGAUCUCUUGGUUCUGGCAUCGAUGAAGAACGCAGCGAAAUGCGAUAAGUAAUGUGAAUUGCAGAAUUCAGUGAAUCAUCGAAUCUUUGAACGCACAUUGCGCCCGCCAGCAUUCUGGCGGGCAUGCCUGUUCGAGCGUCAUUUCAACCCUCAAGCUCUGCUUGGUGUUGGGGCCCUACAGCUGAUGUAGGCCCUCAAAGGUAGUGGCGGACCCUCUCGGAGCCUCCUUUGCGUAGUAACUUUACGUCUCGCACUGGGAUCCGGAGGGACUCUUGCCGUANAACCCCCAAUUUUCCAAAGGUUGACCUCGGAUCAGGUAGGAAUACCCGCUG